rnacentral:lncRNA from 1 species
GCUGUGAGGCCAGGGCAGGGCGGGGAGAAGGGUGCGGGCCGACCUGGACCGUCCCUCCGUUGUACCUGUCCCCCACCUCCCCACCACCCCCAGACCCGCAGGACUGGAGGCGAGGCUGCGGACUCUUGGAGGACAAAGGCUACCCACUGUCACCUCCCAGUUCCACCCCUUCCCAGUGGUGGCUUCUCUCAGAGGCAAUGCCGGCUGGGGCUCCCUCAGGCACAAAGAAAAGUGGCGGGGUGCUCCCUUUAAAGAGGGGACCCCAGAGCGUUGCUGUCCGUACGGUGCGGGAGAACAAUGGGACUCCGCCCGCACCCGGGACCCUCGUGCUCACCCUCGUGUCCCCGCCUUUCCCUGUCCUACCUAACCCACCUAGCAGUGCGGGGCUUCGCAGCGGAGGAAGGGGACCUGCGCGGGGAAGAAGGGCCACCUGACCGGGUCGCCGCAGCGCGGCCGCAGCUCCCUGGGGACCCCCUGGCAGCUGUAGCUCUCGGGAGGGAAAAGGAGGGUCGCGUGCUGUCAACGUGCAGCCGGCUCCCCUUGCAAGCUGUCGCCAAAACCUGGAGCGCGGAUCUGACGCGCGGGAGACGCGGGGUGGAGGCUGAGAGCCUGCGGGACGCAGAGAAACGCAGACGCAGCAGGUUUUUCCUGUCGGGAGGGUGACGUCUCCUCCCCCUCCAGUCCGCCAGGUUGGAGACAGGAAAAGGUGGUGUUUUCCGGCGUUGAUGUCCCCCGCCGGCUUGGUUGACCUGGAAAAGGAGCUAGAACCCCGAGUAGUCGCACGCUCCAGGUCUGGCCCCAACCCUGGGACUCUCAGGUUGCCUGGAAAUCCUGGCACAAAGCAGAGCCCCUCCUGGAGACCUUGGCUUCCCUGGGCGCUAUCGGGGUCAUCACAAGGGUGCCCCCAAUCUGAAUCGCUCUGAAACCUUAGACCGGGUGCACUUUAAGCCCAGGUCCUAAACCACGGUCGACGUUAAGAUGAAUUUAAAAAGGAAGCGGACACAACUGUUGGGGAAAGCAAAAUACUUGGGUGGAGUGUUAAAAGCCUCAAAGAAAAUAAUAGUUGGCAGGUUAAACGGCCAUGAGGUCGGAAGUCAAAUACAAAACCGCAGAAGUGAUACCAGAAUUUUGACAAGCAAAACAGUCGGUGAAGAUAAGGGACCCGGCACUGUUUCCCUUCUCCGAAUGACCGACUGCUCCGAAGUUGCCUUUGGCAGAUACCUGGGUUCCACUCCGAAUUCCUCAGAGUUUUACUUGGGGUUCAUAUUUCAAAAUAUAUGUUCCAU